ACUCCACCAAUCCCCCAAGUCGGGGUGUCAUUUUAAUACAGAUACAGUAUCAUGUGUACAGAUACAGUUUUAUGUGUACAGAUACAGUUUUAUGUGUACAGAUACAUAAUUUUGAGUAAGGAUAUGUAGGAGAAUAUUGUUUUGAAAAGAUAUAUGAAUCUGAGAGCGCCCCCAGGCAUGCACAUAAAGCGACUGGUGCCAUUACAGAGAUCUCUAGUUCUACGUGAGGGGAUGCCUGAAACAGAUCUUGUUUUACGGAGAAACCGGGAAAUUGGCAGGGGAAACAAAUUGGCACAUUCAAAACCCGCUAAAAGUCCGACUCGAAGCAUUUGUGAAAACCCAUUCCUGACUUUUAAAACGAUGAAGAAUUAAAGAGAAAGGUAAAGCAGAAAAUUCAAAGAAAUGGACAACAGAAGACAAGUAUAUGUAUGGAUUCAGUCCUUUUCAUUGAACAGACGCCGAUAUAUCGCGGGAGCACCUGUUGUUUGUUAUUAUACGAGUAAAGUUUGUAGUAAAGAACC